AGAGUUUGAUUAUGGCUCAGGAUGAACGCUGGCGGCGUGCCUAAUACAUGCAAGUCGAACGAGGCCCUUUGUAUUCGUACGAAGGUGUCCUAGUGGCGAACGGGUGAGUAACACGUAGGUGACCUGCCCCGAAGCGGGGGACAACUCCGGGAAACUGGAGCUAAUACCCCAUGUUUUCCAUGGUGUUAGAGGACCAUGGAACAAAGGAGCAAUCCACUUUGGGAGGGGCCUGCGGCCCAUCAGCUAGUUGGUAGGGUAAUGGCCUACCAAGGCUAUGACGGGUAGGGGACCUGAGAGGGUGGUCCCCCACACUGGAACUGAAACACGGACCAGACACCUACGGGUGGCAGCAGUGGGGAAUAUUGCACAAUGGGCGAAAGCCUGAUGCAGCAACGCCGCGUGCGCGAUGAAGGCCUUCGGGUUGUAAAGCGCUUUUCUGGGGGAAGAGGAAGGACGGUACCCCAGGAAUAAGUCUCGGCUAACUACGUGCCAGCAGCCGCGGUAAAACGUAGGAGGCGAGCGUUAUCCGGAUUUACUGGGCGUAAAGCGCGUGUAGGCGGUUAGGUAAGUCGGACGUGAAAGCUCCCGGCUCAACUGGGAGAGGCCGUUCGAAACUACCUGACUUGAGGGCAGUAGAGGGAGGUGGAAUUCCGGGUGUAGCGGUGAAAUGCGUAGAUAUCCGGAGGAACACCAGUGGCGAAGGCGGCCUCCUGGGCUGACCCUGACGCUCAGACACGAAAGCUAGGGUAGCAAACGGGAUUAGACACCCCGGUAGUCCUAGCUGUAAACGAUGCAGACUUGGUGUUGGCAGUUUAAACACUGUCAGUGCCGUA
rnacentral:rRNA from 1 species